GGCGUCAGUCACUGUGACUCUCCUGGAUGAAAAUGACAACAGCCCCACAUUCACCAGCAGCGAGUACGAGGGAAAAGUGUUUGCUGAUCAGACGGAGGGACAGUCGCUGGUCCAGGUCGCAGCAGAAGAUCCAGAUGCUGAUGUAAACGGGAAGGUCAGAUACUCUAUUGACUUUGGAAACAAUGAAGGAUACUUCUCAAUCGAUGAAAACACUGGAGAGAUCUCACUGGCUAAGACCAUCCCCCUGGUGGAAAACAAGAUUUUGGAGUUCACUCUCUACGUAACAGCCAGAGAUGGGGGCGUCAUACCGCGCUCCUCUUCAGCACAAGUGAUAAUUCGAGCUCCUGGUGACUCAAAACCUCAGUUUUUACAAAAAAUCUACCGUGGCAAUGUAGAAGAAGCAAAAGAAGCGGGAGUGGUGAU